CUGCCAAUCGCUACUGCCUUAUCGGCCCGCUGUUGCUGCUAACUGCUACUGCCUUAUCGGCCCGCUGUUGCUGCUAACUGCUACUGCCUUAUCGGCCCACUGUUGCUGCUAACUGCUACUGCCUUAUCGGCCCACUGUUGCUGCUAACUGCUACUGCCUUAUCGGCCCACACUCACCCCCUGCAGCUGCCUCACCAGCCUGCUCUCGCUGCCAACUUCACUCUGGCCCACACUUGAUCCGCCGUCGCUGCAGGACACAGCCCACGCAUUCGGCUCCCGGUAUGCGACCCGACUCCUAAGACCUGUCAUUUUGGAUCUAUCCUUGGGCCAGUCCCUUCAUCUUGAAUUUUGCUUAAAAGAAGGAAGAAGUUCCCAACUCUGAAGAGCAUUUGGCUGCCAGAUCUGCUGUUGAGAUCACUAGUGCUGAUAUCCGGAGAUCCCCUUGACUUGUUGCCAGAUCCAACUUGUUGUCAGGAAAGGUGAAAACCACACCACGGAACUCACAAUCUUCAUGGGCAGGCAACACGAGCACAGUUGCUUCACCACUGACCACAGAAUACUGUCUGGUGUGUAAAAUGGGCUUUUAUUCUGCUGUAACAAUAAAGAGUGCUCAACAAGUCUUUAUCACAAUUUUAACAGAUCCAUUUUAGGUGUCAACAUGAAAAAUGGUUCUGCAGUGGAGUAUUUCAUAAACACCAAUUACUUAGAGUGACAUAUUCUACUUUGAUCGCCAUUUUGUCAAUAAAUUAACCACGUUGACUAGUCAAGAAGCUAAGACACAUUCCAAGCUGAUAGCAGUCAGGAUCCAUUGUUGAAUGCAGGAAAAGAGAAAAGGAAACAAAAUUCACCUUCAUAUCAUAUGAAAUCCCUUUUUGGGGGAGGGGAGCUAAUCACUCAAUUGGUUAAAACUUAAUGACACCAACAUGCCUAAGUUCAGUCUCUGUGUUGGCAGGGUUUUCUUGGGUAACACGUCCACAUCUUGCCCAUUAGUUAUAUCACGACAUCGAAAUGCAUGGACAGCCAAGAUUUUUCUCGUUCCAUAUAUCUGUCUUGUAACUUGUGAGUCACAACACUAUUUUCUGCAUUGACUUAAUGAGUAUUAUAAAAACAUUCAAAUCCAUCAACAUAAUAUUAAGAUUUGCAAUGCUGGUAAUCUCUUUCAAUCCCACAAGCCUGUGGGAUCUCUCUCCAAACCCCUUCCAAAUCCACACACAGCUCCUGAUAUGCCUGUAUUUGCCAAAUGUGAUCACAUUGCUGGCUGGAACCUUCAGUCAGUUUUCAUACAAAAGGAAUAGCAACUGGAAUGAAACGACUGGGAAGUGUGCUAUAUUUAGACAAGAAGGGGCAUUGAAGCUAAGUACAGUAUCUCUUUAAAGAAACCAGUUGAGAGACAAGAAGUACUUAAUACCUAGUGAUUCAGUUGCUCAAUAGAUGAGCAUGGACUCAAACAGAGCUCAAGAAAGAUUUUCAUUUCACAAUAUCUC